rnacentral:rRNA from 1 species
UGCGUAGGUGGGCUCGUGUGUCGGAUGUGAAAUCUCACUGCUCAACAGUGAAACUGCAUUCGAAACUGCGAGUCUAGAGUACAUGAAGGGAGAGUGGAAUUCUUGGUGUAGCGGUGAUAUGCGUUGAUAUCAAGAAGAACACCGGUGGCGAAGGCGGCUCUCUGGCAUGUUACUGACACUGAGGCACGAAAGUUGGGGUAGCAAACAGGAUUAGAUACCCUGGUAGUCC